rnacentral:tRNA from 1 species
CGGAGCGUAGCGCAGUCUGGUCAGCGUAGGGACUUUGGAUGUCUCGGGUCGCAGGUUCGAAUCCUGCCGCUCCGACCA